rnacentral:rRNA from 1 species
GGGGAAUCUUGCGCAAUGGGCGAAAGCCUGACGCAGCGACGCCGCGUGAGUGAUGAAGGCCUUCGGGUUGUAAAGCUCUGUGGAGGGAGACGAAUAAGGCGUGGCGAAUACCCGCGCUGAUGACUGUAUCCCUUUAGCAAGCACCGGCUAACUCUGUGCCAGCAGCCGCGGUAAGACAGAGGGUGCAAACGUUGUUCGGAAUUACUGGGCGUAAAGCGCGUGUAGGCGGCUUGGCAAGUCGGGUGUGAAAGCCCUGGGCUCAACCUAGGAAGUGCACUCGAAACUGCCUCGCUAGAGUGUCGGAGAGGGUAGUGGAAUUCUCGGUGUAGAGGUGAAAUUCGUAGAUAUCGAGAGGAACACCGGUGGCGAAGGCGGCUACCUGGACGACGACUGACGCUGAGACGCGAAAGCGUGGGGAGCAAAC